rnacentral:misc_RNA from 1 species
GAAAUGCGAUAAGUAAUGUGAAUUGCAGAAUUCCGUGAAUCAUCGAAUCUUUGAACGCACAUUGCGCCCUCUGGUAUUCCGGGGGGCAUGCCUGUCCGAGCGUCAUUGCAACCCUCAAGCGCGGCUUGUGUGAUGGGCUUCCGUCCCUCGCGGACGGGCCCGAAAGGCAGUGGCGGCGUCGUUUCCGGUGUCCGAGCGUAUGGGGCUCUGUCACCCGCUCGCGAGACCCGGGCGACGCCGGCCGAACAAAUUUAUCAACCAAGGUUGACCUCGGAUCAGGUAGGGAUACCCGCUGAACUUAA